GACGUAGGGCGCGAGCGUUGUCCGGAUUUAUUGGGCGUAAAGAGCUCGUAGGCGGCUCAUUGCGUCAACCGUGAAAACCAGCAGCUCAACUGUUGGCUUGCGGUUGAUACGGGUGGGCUGGAGUUCGGUAGGGGAGACUGGAAUUCCUGGUGUAGCGGUGAAAUGCGUAGAGAUGCGGAGGAACACCGAUGGCGAAGGCAGCCCCCUGGGCUGACACUGACGCUCAGGCACGAAAGCGUGGGGAGCAAACAGG
rnacentral:rRNA from 1 species